rnacentral:rRNA from 1 species
AGGGCUAGCCUCAAGCGUAGAGAAACGGAGGUAGAGCACUGAAUGUCCUAGGGGGUAUUGCACUUACCGAAGACUAUCAAACUCCGAAUGCCGUUUUCUUUUACUUGGGAGUCAGACUGUGGGUGAUAAGAUUCAUAGUCAAAAGGGCAACAGCCCAGAUCGUCAGCUAAGGUCCCUAAAUGUACGUUAAGUGGUAAAGGAUGUGGGAUUGCACAGACAACCAGGAUGUUGGCUUAGAAGCAGCCACUCAUUUAAAGAGUGCGUAAUAGCUCACUGGUCGAGUGAUCCUGCGCCGAAAAUUUCCGGGGCUAAAACGUACUACCGAAGCUACGGCAUCAUUUAUGAUGGGUAGGGGAGCUUCGUAUGCAGGCUGAAGCAUGACCGUAAGGACAUGUGGACAGUAUACGAGUGAGAAUGUUGGCAUGAGUAGCGAGACGUGGGUGAGAAUCCCACGGGCCGUAAACCCAAGGUUUCCAGGGGAAGGUUCGUCCGCCCUGGGUUAGUCGGGACCUAAGCCGAGGCCGAAAGGCGUAGGUGAUGGACAACAGGUUGAUAUUCCUGUACCGCCAAUAAGCGUUUGAGAGAUGGAGUGACACAGUAGGAUAAGCUAACCGUACUGUUGGUUAUGUACGGCUAAGCAUUGAGGCAGUCUAAAUAGGCAAAUCCGUUUAGACAAUG